UUCCGGUUGAUCCUGCCGGACCUGACUGCUAUCGGAUUGAUACUAAGCCAUGCGAGUCUUUGUAGUAAUACAAGGCAGACGGCUCAGUAACACGUAGUCAAUCUAAGCUAUGGACAGGGAUAACCUCGGGAAACUGAGAAUAAUACCUGAUAGAUCACAAUGCCUGGAAUGGUUUGUGGUUGAAAUGAUUUAUCGCCAUAGGAUGGGACUGCGACCUAUCAGUUUGUUGGUGAGGUAAUGGCCCACCAAGACUAUUACAGGUACGGGCUCUGAGAGGAGAAGCCCGGAGAUGGGUACUGAGACACGGACCCAGGCCCUAUGGGGCGCAGCAGGCGAGAAAACUUUGCAAUGUGCGAAAGCACGACAAGGUUAAUCCGAGUGUUUUCUGCUAAAGAAAUCUUUUGUCAGUUCUAGAAAUACUGAUGAAUAAGGGGUGGGCAAGUUCUGGUGUCAGCCGCCGCGGUAAAACCAGCACCUCAAGUGGUCAGGAUGAUUAUUGGGCCUAAAGCAUCCGUAGCCUGGUGUGUAAGUUUUCGGUUAAAUCCAUAUGCUCAACGUAUGGGCUGCCGGGAAUACUGUACACCUAGGGAGUGGGAGAGGUAGACGGUACUCGGUAGGAAGGGGUAAAAUCCUUUGAUCUAUUGAUGACCACCUGUGGCGAAGGCGGUCUACCAGAACACGUCCGACGGUGAGGGAUGAAAGCUGGGGGAGCAAACCGGAUUAGAUACCCGGGUAGUCCCAGCUGUAAACUAUGCAAACUCGGUGAUGCAUUGGCUUGAUGCCAAUGCAGUGCCGCAGGAAGCCGUUAAGUUUGCCGCCUGGGAAGUACGUACGCAAGUAUGAAACUUAAAGGAAUUGGCGGGGGAGCACCACAAGGGUGAAGCCUGCGGUUCAUUGGAUUCAACGCGA
rnacentral:rRNA from 1 species